UUUUAAGUGAAUCUCUAUUGUAGGUUAAAGCCGCUGGGAAGUCAAAGAAGAAGAAUGGGUCUAUCUUGCUUGAUUGGCGAUUGCUAUCGGCUGCUGGGAAGUCAAAGAAGAAGAAGCACGAGAUCACCAAGAAGCACAGCCACAUUUGGACCCAUUCGUUGUCUGCAAAAGCAGGAGAUUUCUUGGUCCUUUCCAACUUGAUGGCAG